rnacentral:rRNA from 1 species
GUGGGGAAUAUUGGACAAUGGGCGAAAGCCUGAUCCAGCCAUGCCGCGUGUGUGAAGAAGGUCUUCGGAUUGUAAAGCACUUUAAGUUGGGAGGAAGAGCAGUAAGUUAAUACCUUGCUGUUUUGACGUUACCGACAGAAUAAGCACCGGCUAACUUCGUGCCAGCAGCCGCGGUAAUACGAAGGGUGCAAGCGUUAAUCGGAAUUACUGGGCGUAAAGCGCGCGUAGGUGGUUUUGUAAGUUGGAGGUGAAAUCCCCGGGCUCAACCUGGGAACUGCCUCCAAAACUGCAUGACUAGAGUACGGUAGAGGGUAGUGGAAUUUCCUGUGUAGCGGUGAAAUGCGUAGAUAUAGGAAGGAACACCAGUGGCGAAGGCGACUACCUGGACUGAUACUGACACUGAGGUGCGAAAGCGUGGGGAGCAAACAGGAUUAGAUACCCGAGUAGUCC